CAGUCGCCACGGUAAUACGGAGGGUGCAAGCGUUAUCCGGAUUCACUGGGUUUAAAGGGUGCGUAGGCGGAUCUGUAAGUCAGUGGUGAAAUCUCCAGGCUUAACCUGGAAACUGCCGUUGAUACUAUAGGUCUUGAAUUUUGUGGAGGUUAGCGGAAUAUGUCAUGUAGCGGUGAAAUGCAUAGAUAUGACAUAGAACACCAAUUGCGAAGGCAGCUGGCUACACAACUAUUGACGCUGAGGCACGAAAGCGUGGGGAUCGAACAGGAUUAGAUACCCGAGUAGUCCCUGUCUCUUAUAC
rnacentral:rRNA from 1 species